rnacentral:rRNA from 1 species
AACGAACGCUGGCGGCAGGCUUAACACAUGCAAGUCGAACGCAUCCUUCGGGGUGAGUGGCAGACGGGUGAGUAACGCGUGGGAACGUGCCCUUCAGUUCGGGAUAACCCAGGGAAACUUGGGCUAAUACCGGAUACGUGCGAGAGCAGAAAGAUUUAUCGCUGAAGGAUCGGCCCGCGUCUGAUUAGCGGGUUGGUGGGGUAAUGGCCCACCAAGGCGACGAUCAGUAGCUGGUCUGAGAGGAUGAUCAGCCACAUUGGGACUGAGACACGGCCCAAACUCCUACGGGAGGCAGCAGUGGGGAAUAUUGGACAAUGGGCGCAAGCCUGAUCCAGCCAUGCCGCGGGAGUGAUGAAGGCCUUAGGGUUGUAAAGCUCUUUCGUCCGGGACGAUAAUGACGGUACCGGAAGAAGAAGCCCCGGCUAACUUCGUGCCAGCAGCCGCCGUAAGAC